GCGCCGCUAGUACGCACGCGUUAGGCGUUUUUUAAUUGUCACCCUAAGCACGGCGGACAGAGUGCUCGACACUGUUAAAUUGUGGUCUGGGGAUUACGAUAGAUAGAUGACGAUGACGACAAAAUUACACGGUGCGAUGUGGCAACUGUCUGAGUUUAGGGCACUGGUCCUAGCACGUAUCGCGUGUCUUUUGUAUAGGGCGACAGCUUGACGAGAGGCAGGUAGCAUGUGCCGCACAAUCGGGAAAACGUUGUUUUGAAAACCGUACGUACAUUGGCCAGGAAACUGUUCCUUGUCCCACCGUUUUUCUUGUACGUGAUAUGGGGUGGUGUUCCAAGGUGGCAGGGUCGAUAUCGCACGUGGCAUUAAGUGCCACAUAUUAGCUUGAUCUCCGCUGCUAUUGACGUUUUUGCGGCGAGGCCUGUUUUCUGCCGGUGGAAUCAGGGGCCACAUUGAUGAGGAGUGGGUCGAGAAUGCCGCAGCAUGUGUGCUGGUUGAUGAUGGGGAGGCAGCUCCAUUAACUGCAUUCAGUAGACGUGAAACUGUCCCAGUCUAUGGUGUUCAUGAAAUUUAGCAUGUUCCAUCUCUCGGGGAACGAGAGCCGUCAGAAUCGCAUGAGCCGACGGUUUCUGUGUCUUCACCCGUGGCAGCAGCCUCUUGAGAACAGUCUAUGUGUUGAUUUCAACAUGUUGGCCCAUAAGGCUCGCGUACUCUGUCAUCUCGCCAAACCUCCGCUUCACCCAGGGUCCAGUUUCCUCGUAGCUGCUCGCGACCUAUCCCUGUCACGGCGUGUGUGGCAAGCCCCAACAGACUGCAAGCUCUCUCUCGGGUCACGUGUUUACAACACUAUUUGACACUCGCCUUGAUGUGACAGCGAGACGCCUUGCAGCGGAAUGCGAUUUGGCAUUUCUAAUCGAGUAUCGUUGUGACGAAGGAGAUCGUGCUGUGAUAGUAGCAGCAGAGGUGUCGCGUGGGGUGAUGCUUUCCCCGUCGACGGUGGGUUGGCCGAUGCCAGAUUUUCUGCAGCGCGAGAGACCAUGUCUUGGGAGGUAGAGAGCUAGAGAGGAGCAAAACGGCACUCCGAUGUCAGCAGUGCCGGACCCGCUGCACAUUCGUUCAGAAACGAACUUGCAGUGGUCACAUUGUGACGGGGUGGCUGUGCACGAGUUGCUUCAUUGACAGUUUCAUCCCAUUUCCCCUCCGAGGUCCGGCACCUCCGUCAGGCGAUAAGA
rnacentral:lncRNA from 1 species